UGCAGAUGAUGUAAACGAAUAUUUGCUAUCUUAUUGACAGUGAUGAAUAUUUCCCACCAAGAUCGCUGAUGCA
ensembl:snoRNA SNORD24 Small nucleolar RNA SNORD24